GGCUAAUCUUAAUAAUAUUUACUUGUAUAUUAUAUAUUUAAUCAUUGUGUCUAGGGCUUGAUCUGGUGAGUGCUCAGCUCCUAAUGAAGUGAGGAUAUGGGGUGUUCUGAACCUAGCUGCAUCAGGCCUUUUAUCUUUAUCUGGCUCCACGUAUGCAAGACACUGGCAAUUACAAAGUUCAAGCAAGCAAUGCAGACAGAUUUGCCACGUUUUCAAGAUCGACAGAGUCACCAAUGGCUGAUUCUUCUGCCAGCUCUGUGAGGAAAAUCUAUGAAAAAUGUCACUGAACCAUUACACAAAUUAAAGGCUCACAGAAAGCAUUCAAAGCAGUUCUGCAUGCCCAACCCAUGCUCUCUCUGAAAAAUCCUGAGCUAGAGAGAGAGGCAGAAGAGGAGACAAGAUGACAAGGGAAAGACACAGAAUAGAACACCUACCGCAAAUUAUGUUCCUCCAGCCCACUGAAGUCUGCUAUGGUAGCGGGGUUCUGAGCAGCCUGCUGUGUCAGCUUUCUCUUCCAAAAUGGUGAGAAGAGGAGAAAAGAGAAAACAAAAAAUUACUUUCCAUGCUGCAUGUUCCUUCAGCGGUAGAACACAGAAUAAUUGACUCCUUUGGCAAGAUGAAGAGGCAACCUAGGAAAAGGGGACUUGCAGAACAUUCUGUUGCAACCAACUAGUAUUUUCUUCUUUCAAACACGCUGCUUAUUGUAAAUGAAAGAGCUCAUUCAAAGUCAGAACCCAACCACAAAAUCACAACUUUCAGAAAUAGCUAAUGAGACUAGAGGAUCUGAUAGCCCUGUGGCAACAAACUGAACAGGAUAGAAUUGUCAUGAAUAAUAUUCAUUACUAAUUUGGCCUUUUUGUAGAGUUAAUCAAUUGCUCAUGAACUGAUCUUGAUUUUUUAAUAUAUUUUUAAUUGUAAAUAUUUGUUGGCUACUUUGGAUGAGUAAUUUUCUGGCUAUGGAUUGUUUGCAAUCUGCUCCUUUUUGACUAUUUGCCGUGUCAAGUAGGUCUCAUGGUGCACUUUUUACUCACUGAAUGACUGAAUCAGUUUAAACAAGAGAAUAGUGAAUAAUGAAUAGUGAAUAACAAAUUUACAGUAUUGACGUUCAGACAAAUAAUCAUUCAUCAUGAAACUAGAAGGGGAUUAUAGCUGGCAGCUGUCUUGGUAUAACAGAUAGUGGGAUCUCUCACCCACAAAUAAUUAACUAAAUGACCCUACAAAUCACAGCAAACCAAACUCAGCAAAUAUAUUCAUUAAUCUUACUAUUCUUUCCAUACUCGUGGACUUCUGCUGGUUGAAUAGUAAUAUAUAUAUUAUAUUUUAUUAUUCAGCCUGCAGUAAUCCUAGACUUAGAACAGAACCUGAAACUUUUGAGAUGUGAGUUUCAUCUGAUUCUUAUCAAAACAUGAGUUCUGGGCUACUAUGUUUGAACUGUUGUUUGAAUUCUGUUUAAACUUUAUUCCCAUGGUAGCCCUAGAAGCAGGAUGAGAAUUGCUUUCAAGGUAGAAUCGUUAUUAUUUGCAUAGCACAGGCUUUCACUUAGUUAGAAAUGCACAUUUUUUAUUAGAAUUCCCUUGGAAAAAUCAACUGUUUAAAUUAGAGGUGGAGAUGGGGAGAGUCUUAUGGAACUCCCAAUAGUUUUGCUAAAUUCAAAACUUUGUAAUAAAACAAAAAAGAUGUAAAGGUUCCA
ensembl:lncRNA